UACGUAGGACCCAAGCGUUAUCCGGAAUUACUGGGCGUAAAGAGUUGCGUAGGUGGCAAGGUAAGCGGAGUGUGAAACCUUAUGGCUCAACCAUAAGACUAUGCUCUGAACUACCUAGCUAGAAUAUGGGAGAGGUAGCUGGAAUUCCUAGUGUAGGAGUGAAAUCCGUAGAUAUUAGGAGGAACACCGAUGGCGUAGGCAGGCUACUGGCCCAUCAUUGACACUAAGGCACGAAAGCGUGGGGAGCGAACGGG
rnacentral:misc_RNA from 1 species